rnacentral:rRNA from 1 species
UACGUAGGGGGCUAGCGUUGUCCGGAAUCAUUGGGCGUAAAGAGCGUGUAGGCGGCCCGGUAAGUCCGCUGUAAAAGUCAAAGGCUCAACCUUUGAAUGUCAGUGGAUACUGCCGGGCUAGAGUCCGGAAGAGGCGAGUGGAACUCCUGGUGUAGCGGUGGAAUGCGCAGAUAUCAGGAAGAACACCAACGGCGAAGGCAGCUCGCUAGGACGGUACUGACGCUGAGACGCGAAAGCGUGGGGGGAGCGAACAGG